CUUUGAAGUGUGUGAAAAAGCGAAGAAAUUAGUCUUUAAAUUCUUUAGUGAUUAUUUGAUUAUACGAUUUCCUAGCUAAUAAAAUAGAUUGAUUGAAGCAAGAUUUUCGCUAAUAUCGACGAAAAAGUGCAUUUUAGGAUGUGAUUUGAUGGGACUAAUUACCUGGUAAAAAUGGUGCUUAUACAUCGCAAUUUUUCGACACCUGAUUGCUCUCAAAGGUCUUUGAAAAGUCUUUGACAAUAGGCAGAAAAAAUCUUUGAAAGUCUUUGAAAUUUUUUGGUCUUGGAGACUACGAACCCUGUUAAUGAGACCUCUGUCAGGUCUGUACUUUAAUACUCU